rnacentral:lncRNA from 1 species
CCUCACAGCCACCGACGCAUCUCACGGCGGGGUUCCAAUUGUGUGCGCGUAUGGAUGCUCCUUUCCCCGCCGCCUUUCUAGUAACUAGUUGAUGUUAUGAUGCAUCGUUGGUCCGGUGUACGAUGGCGCCUGAUGCGAUUUAUGCGUCCGGAAGCCCUUUCAGCCUCCAGGCAUGUCCCCACCUGCCUCACAGCCACCGACGCAUCUCACGGCGGGGUUCCAAUUGCGUGCGCGUAUGGAUGCUCCUUUCCCCGCCGCCUUUCUAGCAACUAGUUGAUGUUAUGAUGCAUCGUUCUUCCGGUGUACGACGGCGCCUGAUGCGAUUUAUGCGUCCGGAAGCCCUUUCAGCCUCCAGGCACGUCCCCACCUGCCUCACAGCGACCGAGGCAUCUCACGGCGGGGGUCUAAUUGCGUGCGCGUAUGGAUGCUCCUUUCCCCGCCGCCUUUCUAGCAACUAGUUGAUGAUAUGAUGCAUCGUUGGUCCGGCGUACGACGGCGCCUGAUGCGAUUUAUGCGUCCGGAAGCCCUUUCAGCCUCCAGGCAUGUCCCCACCUGCCUCACAGCCACCGACGCAUCUCACGGCGGGGUUCAAAUUGCGUGCGCGUAUGGAUACUCCUUUCCUGGCGGCUUUCUA